rnacentral:tRNA from 1 species
AUAGCUAAGUGGUAGAGCUCAUGCUUAGCAUGCAUGAGGUCCUGGGUUCAAUCCCCAGU